rnacentral:lncRNA from 10 species
GUGAUCCACCCACCUCGGCCUCCCAAAGUGCUGGGAUUACAGGCGUGAGCCACUGCGCCCGGCCAAGAAAACAAAUAUUAGGUGAUAAUUCUUGGACUUUAAAGUGUUUCACAAAGCCCUCAGGGUACAAGAAAUCCUAAAAGUGAGGCCGGGUGUGGUGGCUCACUCCUGUAAUCUCAGCACUUUGGGAGGCGGAUCUUGAGGUCAAGAGAUCAAGAUCAUCCUGGCUAACACGGUGAAACCCCAUCUCUACUAAAAAUGCAAAAAAUUAGCUGGGCGUGGUGGCGGACGCCUGUAGUCCCAGCUACUUGGGAGGCUGAGGCAGGAGAAUGGUGUGAACCCGGGAGGUGGAGCUUGCAGUGAGCCAAGAUCACGCCACUGCAUUCCAGCCUGGGCAACAGAGUGGGACUCCAUCUCAAAAAAAAAAAAAAAAAAAAAAGAAAAAGAAAAGAAAAGAAAUCCUAAAACUGCCUCAUAUAGUCACAGCACUGCUUACAGAGAAAUAACAAUCUACAAUCCAAACAACAGAUUAAUUUCAAACUAGUUUAUAUACUCUGUUCUAAUUAUGUUUUACCUCAAGGAACUUUUUAAAUUAGCUAACCACUAUAAAAACCAAAGUCUCAUUAUAAAACAUGCAUACAGGCAUGCCUCAUUUUAUUGCACUUUGCAGAUACUGUGUUUUUUGGUUUUUUUGAGAUGGAGUCUCACUCUGUUGCCCAGGCUGGAGUGCAGUAGCGCAAUCUCAGUUCGCUGCAACCUCGGCCUCCUGAGUUCAAGCAAUUCUCUGCCUGAGCCUCCCAACUAGCUGGGAUUACAGGCAUCCGGGAUGUCUAUGCUGCACUGAACUGUGAUUACACCCCUGCACUCCAGGCUCGGUGGACAAAGCAAGAUCCUGUCUCCAAAACAAACAAAAAAGUACUUUAAAGUAUGGCACAGUGGCUCAUUAUUCCCAACACCUUGGGAGGCUGAGGCGGGAGUAUUGCUCGAGUCCAGGAGUUCGAGGCUGCAGUAAGCUAUAACUGCACCACUGCACUCUAGCCUGGGCAACACAGAAAAUAAGAUCCUGUCACCCCACUCCCAGAAAAUAAAAAUUAAAGUAUGUAUUUUUUUUUAAGACAUAAUGCUACCGAAUACCUGACUACAAUAUAAACUUUUUUUUUUCCAAGACAGGGUCUUACCCCGUCAACAUAGCUGGACUGCUGUGGCGCGAUCACAGCUCAUUGCAGCCUCGGCCUCCCCCCGAGCUCAGGCAAUCUUCUCACCUCAGCCUUCAGAGUAGCUGGAACUACAGGCAUGCACCACUGCACCUGGCUUUUAUUUUUUGUAGAAACAGGGUCUCACUAUAUUGCCAGGGCUGAACAUAACUUUUAUAUGCACUGAAAAACCAAAAAAUUUGUGUGACUCGUUUUAUUGAGAUGACUUCUUUAUUGUAGUGCUGCAGUCUGGGACCAAGCCCGUAGUCCCUGUGAGGUAUGCCUCUAUUUCCUACCACAACCAGCAGUAACUUUCAAGUCACCAUUUAGAUAAUCAGAACUCUAACUCAUCCUGUAGAUGGAUGCUUUGCUUCUUAGGGUACCAAAGAGACAGUGAGACUCUGUCUCAGAAAAAGAAAAAAAAAAAGAUAAAAACAAAAGACAACUUACAUGUGGGAGACACCAUGCUAGGCAUCUCAAACACACAUUGCCUGGGCACGGUGGCUCAUUCCUGUAAUCCCAGCACUUUGAGUGGCUGAGGCGGGUGGGUCACUUGAGGUCAGGAGUUCGAGUCCAGCCUGGCCAACAUGGUAAAACCCCAUCUCUACCAAAAAUAUAAAAAAUUAGCCAGGUGUGAUGGCACACGCCUGUAAUCCCAUCUACUCGGGAGGCUGAGGCAGGAGAAUCACUUGAACCCAGGAGGCGGAAGUUGCAGUGAGCUGAGAUCCUGCCACUGCACUCCAGCCUGGGGGACAGAACAAGACUCCAUUAAAAAAAAAAAAAAAAAAAAAAAAAGUAGGCCGGGCACAGUGGCUCACGCCUGUAAUCCCAGCACUUUGGGAGGCCGAGGCAGGCGGAUCACGAGGUCAGGAGAUCAAGACCAUACUGGCUAACACAGUGAAACCCCGUCUCUACUAAAAAAUACAAAAAACUAGCCGGGCAUGGUGGCGCGUGCCUGUAGUCCCAGCUACUCGGGAGGCUGAUGCAGAAGAAUGGCGUGAACCCGGGAGGCAUAGCUUGCAGUGAGUCAAGAUUGCGCCACUGAACUCCAGCCUGGGCAACAGAGUGAGACUCCAUCUCAAAAAAAAAAGUAAAAUAAACAGGGCGCGGUGGCUCCCGCCUGUAAUCCUAGCACUUUGGGAGGCCAAGGUAGGCGCAUCACCUGAGGUCAGGAGUUUGAGACCAGCCUGGCCAACACAGUGAAACCCCGUCUCUACUACAAAUACAAAAAAAUCAGCCAGGCAUAGUGGUGGGCGCCUGUAAUUCCAGCUACUUGGGAGGCUCUGUCUCCAAAACCAAACAAACAAAAAAACCCCACAAAUUUUAAAAAAACAAGCUGGUGGCACUGUACAUAUAGGAAAAUUAGUCUAGCUGAUUCAAGAGUAAAAUUCAUACAUAUACAAACAUAAAGAAAAAUCUACUGCAUUCCUGUUGUCACUGGCAAUGCUCAUUUGCUAUAGAAACAGGGAAUGUAAAGAGUGUAUCAAAACAAAGGUACAGCAGCCGGGCGCGGUGACUCACGCCUGUAAUCCCACCACUUUGGGAGGCUGAGGCGGGCAGCUCAUGAGGUCAG